UGUGGGAGCUGGCUUGCCUGCGAUAGCGGUGGGUCAGUUGGCAGUGAUGUGACUGACAGACCGCCAUCGCAGGCAAGCCAGCUCCCACA
rnacentral:misc_RNA from 1 species